rnacentral:rRNA from 1 species
UUGACCUCGGAUCAGGUAGGGAUACCCGCUGAACUUAAGCAUAUCAAUAAGCGGAGGAAAAGAAACCAACAGGGAUUGCCUUAGUAACGGCGAGUGAAGCGGCAACAGCUCAAAUUUGAAAGCUGGCCCUUUCAGGGUCCGCGUUGUAAUUUGUAGAGGAUGAUUCGGCGAGGGCUCCCGCCUAAGUCCCCUGGAACGGGGCGUCAUAGAGGGUGAGAAUCCCGUAUGCGGUGGGCUGCCUUAGCCAUGUGAAUCUCCUUCGACGAGUCGAGUUGUUUGGGAAUGCAGCUCUAAAUGGGAGGUAAAUUUCUUCUAAAGCUAAAUACCGGCCAGAGACCGAUAGCGCACAAGUAGAGUGAUCGAAAGAUGAAAAGCACUUUGGAAAGAGAGUUAAAAAGUACGUGAAAUUGUUGAAAGGGAAGCGCUUGCAACCAGACUUGUCCGCAGUUGCUCAGCCGGUCUCCUGACCGGCGUACUCUUCUGCGGCCAGGCCAGCAUCAGUUCGGGCGGUCGGAUAAAGACCUCGGGAAUGUGGCUCCUCUCGGGGAGUGUUAUAGCCCGGGGUGGAAUGCGGCCAGCCUGGACUGAGGAUCUCGCUUCGGCAAGGAUGCUGGCGUAAUGGUUGUAAGCGGCCCGUCUUGAAACACGGACCAAGGAGUCUAACAUCUAUGCGAGUGUUUGGGUGUCAAACCCAUACGCGUAAUGAAAGUGAACGGAGGUGGGAACCCGCAAGGGCGCACCAUCGGCCGAUCCUGAUGUCUUCGGAUGGAUUUGAGCAAGAGCAUAGCUGUUGGGACCCGAAAGAUGGUGAACUAUGCCUGAAUAGGGUGAAGCCAGAGGAAACUCUGGUGGAGGCUCGCAGCGGUUCUGACGUGCAAAUCGAUCGUCAAAUUUGGGUAUAGGGGCGAAAGACUAAUCGAACCA